CAGGGGUGGCUGCACCUUUGGAAAACAUCAUCAAUGUCUGAUGUCACCUUACAUUCUCUGCAUGGAUAUAAAAGCUGCUUCAUGCUCAGUGGAGAACAUUGACCAGCAAACAGAGAACCCUGAACAGGUGAACAGGAGAGCAUAACUACUCCACGGCAGGAAAGAGAAGUCAAGCUCAAACCAUCUCUGGAACAACUUUCCAUUGACGAUGAAGAUCUGUAUUGUCCUACUUCUGUGUGUUGCGUUAGGAAAUGCAGAAACAACAACAGUUGCAAAUGCAGAGACACGAACUACGGCUGCCCCAGCGACAACUACAGCAGCUCUAACAACUACAGCUGUACCCGCAACAACCACAGUACCAGCUGCAACAACUACAGAUGCCCCUGCAACAACUACAGUAGCAACCACAACAACUACAGUCGCAGCUGCAACAACAACAGUACCAGCCGCAACAACUACAGCCAACCCAACAACAACUACAGUACCAGCUCCAGCAACUACAGUAGCAGCGGCAACAACUACAGUACCAGCUGCAACAACUACAGCUGCACCCGCAACAACUACAGUCACAGCCGUUACAACUACAGUAGCAGCGGAAACAACCAAAGCCAACCCAACAACAGCAGCAGCAACCACCACAAAUACCCCAGCCACAACUACUGCAGCUCUAACAACUACAGCUGCACCUGCAACAACAACAGUACCAGCUGCAACAACUACAGUACCAGCUGCAACAACCACGGUAGCAGCCGCAACAACUACAGCCAACCCAACAACAACUACAGUACCAGCUGCAACAACUACAGUAGCAGCGGCAACAACUACAGUAGCAGCUGCAACAACUACAGCUGCACCCGCAACAACUACAGUAGCAACCACUACAACUACAGACGCAGCCGGAACAACUACAGUAGCAGCGAAAACAACCAAAGCCAACAACAACAGCAGCAGCA
ensembl:lncRNA